CACACCGCCCGUCACACCAUGGAAGUCUGCUGCACCAGAAGUAGGUAGUCUAACCGCAAGGGGGGCGCCUACCACGGUGUGGUCGAUGGCUGGGGUG
rnacentral:rRNA from 1 species